CGUUGAUGUGAUGAUAUGAUUUUCGGAAAGAUUUUUCGAGACGACUAAAUAUAUCAGACUACAAUUAUCUGAUCAGCG